rnacentral:rRNA from 1 species
GAUGAACGCUGGCGGCGUGCCUAAUACAUGCAAGUCGAGCGAACGGACGAGAAGCUUGCUUUUCUGAUGUUGGCGGCGGACGGGUGAGUAACACGUGGAUAACCUACCUAUAAGACUGGGAUAACUUCGGGAAACCGGAGCUAAUACCGGAUAAUAUUUUGAACCGCAUGGUUCAAAAGUGAAAGACGGUCUUGCUGUCACUUAUAGAUGGAUCCGCGCUGCAUUAGCUAGUUGGUAAGGUAACGGCUUACCAAGGCAACGAUGCAUAGCCGACCUGAGAGGGUGAUCGGCCACACUGGAACUGAGACACGGUCCAGACUCCUACGGGAGGCAGCAGUAGGGAAUCUUCCGCAAUGGGCGAAAGCCUGACGGAGCAACGCCGCGUGAGUGAUGAAGGUCUUCGGAUCGUAAAACUCUGUUAUUAGGGAAGAACAUAUGUGUAAGUAACUGUGCACAUCUUGACAGUACCUAAUCAGAAAGCCACGGCUAACUACGUG